CAGUCGCCACGGUAAUACGAAGGGUGCAAGCGUUAAUCGGAAUUACUGGGCGUAAAGCGCGCGUAGGUGGUUUGGUAAGAUGGAUGUGAAAUCCCCGGGCUCAACCUGGGAACUGCAUCCAUAACUGCCUGACUAGAGUACGGUAGAGGGUGGUGGAAUUUCCUGUGUAGCGGUGAAAUGCGUAGAUAUAGGAAGGAACACCAGUGGCGAAGGCGACCACCUGGACUGAUACUGACACUGAGGUGCGAAAGCGUGGGGAGCAAACAGGAUUAGAUACCCGUGUAGUCCCUGUCUCUUAUAC
rnacentral:rRNA from 1 species